rnacentral:rRNA from 1 species
UACGAAGGGGGCUAGCGUUGCUCGGAAUUACUGGGCGUAAAGGGCGCGUAGGCGGAUACUUAAGUUAGAGGUGAAAGCCCAGGGCUCAACCCUGGAAUAGCCUUUAAUACUGGGGUAUCUUGAGUUCGGGAGAGGUGAGUGGAAUGCCGAGUGUAGAGGUGAAAUUCGUAGAUAUUCGGCGGAACACCAGUGGCGAAGGCGACUCACUGCGCAGACUACUGACUACGUGAGGCGACGAAAGGGCAGUGGGGG